CGUAUAAUUGCUAGGUCAUAUUGUAACUUGUGUCUCACUUUUUGAGGAACUAGUAGAUGUUUUCCACAGUGGCUGCACCAUCUACAUUCCCACUAGCAGC
rnacentral:pre_miRNA from 1 species